rnacentral:rRNA from 1 species
UACGGAGGUUGCGAGCGUUGUUCGGAAUUACUGGGCGUAAAGGGAGCGUAGGCGGUAUGUUAAGUCUGAAGUGAAAGCCCGGGGCUCAACCCCGGAAGUGCUUUGGAUACUGGCAAACUGGAGUGCGCGAGAGGAGAGCGGAAUUCAGGGUGUAGCGGUGAAAUGCGUAGAUAUCCUGAGGAACACCGGUGGCGAAAGCGGCUCUCUGGCGCGACACUGACGCUGAGGCUCGAAAGCGUGGGUAGCAAACGGG